CGACAAUCCUACCACUUAGAGUUGUCGGAUCACUAAGACCGACUUUCGUCCUUGUUUAAGUAGUUACUCUCACAAUCAAGCCUUCUUAUUAUUUAACCUUUACAUUUAUUAAUUUUAAUAUUUUAUUUUUAUUAAAAUAAAAGACCUUUGUGCACCUCCGUUACUCUUUAGGAGGCAACCGCCCCAGUCAAACUACCUUUUUGAAAUUUUUAUAUAAUAUGAUAAAAAAAUUAUAGUUAGAAAUUAAAAUUUAUUAAAGUGGUGUUUCAUUAAUAGUAUAAACUUCCCACUUACACUAUAUAAAUAAAAUUUAAUUUCAAUUUCAAAUUGCAGUAAAGCUUCAUAGGGUCUUUCUGUCCUGAUGUAAAAAGUCUGUAUCUUUACAAACAUUUCUAUUUCACCGAAUAUUUCUUAAAGACAGUGUUCAAGUCGUUACACCUUUCGUGCGGGUCGGAACUUACCCGACAAUGAAUUUCGCUACCUUAGGACCGUUAUAGUUACAGCCGCCGUUUACUAGAGCUUAUAAAAAAAUUAUUUGUAUAACAUAAAAAUUUUUUUUAACUUACUAGCACUGGGCAGGUGUCAGUAUCCUUACUUCAUAAUUACAUUUUGCGGAUACCUGUGUUUUUGAUAAACAGUCGCUUGAACUUUUUAAUUGCAGCCUUAUAGGCAUCCUUUAUCCCGAAGUUACAGGAUUGUUUUGCCGAGUUCCUUAAAGAAAUUUAUUUCGUCCUCUUAGUACGUUAUAGUACCUACUCACUUGUGUCAGUUUUAGUACGGGCAUAUCUAUAAUUAUACAAUAUCAUUUUUCUAGCAAAAAUUUUAUUUCUAAGUAAAAAUCAUUUAUUAUAUUACUUAGAAUUUAUAUUUAGGUCACUACUUGUAUACUAUAUAAAUAUGGUUCAAGAAUAUUAACUUGAUUCCCAUCAAUUACAAUAAAUUUCUUAUCUUAGGCCCCGACUAACCCUAUGCGGUUUAUCCUUUCAUAGGAACCUUUUGAGUUUUUGAGGUAUUAGAUUCUUCUUAAUAUUUAAGUUACUUAAACCGACAUUCUCACUUCUACUUUAUUCACAAAAUUUAAUAACUUUGCUUUAUUUUAAUGUAGAACGCUCCCCUACCGAUCUAUUUUUAAUUAAUAGAUCCCAUUACUUCGAUAAAAAAAUAUUUUAUUGUUCAUUUUAGGUGCAGAAUUACUUUACCAGUAAGCUUUUACGCACUUUUUAAAGGAAAACUGCUUC
rnacentral:rRNA from 1 species